ACCUCAGGUAGUGCAAUGGGCCAGGGUGUCUGGUUGCGAACCAGAAGGUUGGUGGUUCAAGCCCACCCAGGGGUA